UACGUAGGGCGCAAGCGUUGUCCGGAAUUAUUGGGCGUAAAGAGCUCGUAGGCGGUUUGUCGCGUCUGCUGUGAAAAUCCCGAGGCUCAACCUCGGGCUUGCAGUGGGUACGGGCAGACUAGAGUGCGGUAGGGGAGACUGGAAUUCCUGGUGUAGCGGUGGAAUGCGCAGAUAUCAGGAGGAACACCGAUGGCGAAGGCAGGUCUCUGGGCCGCAACUGACGCUGAGGAGCGAAAGCAUGGGGAGCGAACAGG
rnacentral:rRNA from 1 species